GAUGAACGCUGGCGGCGUGCCUAAUACAUGCAAGUCGAGCGAACGGACGAGAAGCUUGCUUCUCUGAUGUUAGCGGCGGACGGGUGAGUAACACGUGGAUAACCUACCUAUAAGACUGGGAUAACUUCGGGAAACCGGAGCUAAUACCGGAUAAUAUUUUGAACCGCAUGGUUCAAAAGUGAAAGACGGUCUUGCUGUCACUUAUAGAUGGAUCCGCGCUGCAUUAGCUAGUUGGUAAGGUAACGGCUUACCAAGGCAACGAUGCAUAGCCGACCUGAGAGGGUGAUCGGCCACACUGGAACUGAGACACGGUCCAGACUCCUACGGGAGGCAGCAGUAGGGAAUCUUCCGCAAUGGGCGAAAGCCUGACGGAGCAACGCCGCGUGAGUGAUGAAGGUCUUCGGAUCGUAAAACUCUGUCAUUAGGGAAGAACAAAUGUGUAAGUAACUGUGCACAUCUUGACGGUACCUAAUCAGAAAGCCACGGCUAACUACGUG
rnacentral:rRNA from 1 species